UUACUAGACUGGUCUAAGAGACUCAAAAUAAUCAAAGGGUUAGUAGAGGGGCUUGUUUACCUGCACAAGCACCCCAUGCUAUCUAUUGUCCAUAGGGACUUGAAACCAAAUAAUAUUAUCUUGGAAUGUGACAUGACUCUUAAUAUUUCUGAUUUUGGAUCAGCUAAAACCCUGAGUCCAGACGUAACAGAAGAGCAUACAUGCAGGGUGGUGGGCACUAGGUAA
rnacentral:rRNA from 1 species